GCUGUGAAACAUCUCUGAGCAAACUGCUUUGUGUGCGGUAGCUCUUAGGAUGGCCUCAGAUCUUGCAGCAGCGCUUGCACUUCUAUGAAGAAACUCAGGCUCAGAUGGACCAAGUCACUUCAAAAUCAUAGUUCAGAGCAGAAGACCUACGUCUCAAAUUCAGACGGGAAAUAAAGGAAGCACAUUGAACAAAGUGCACAAAUUCAACAUCUGGCAAUGCAUUAUGGAGAGGACCCAUGAUACAUUUUCUUCAGUUUCUCUGAAGGAAAAACAAACAAACAAACUGAAGAAUUGAUGAAACAUACUCUAAGACAAUACAUUCCUCUAAAAAUCUGAGUAUAAUUCACUGGCUGAGAGGCAUGUAUCGAAAUAUCAAUGUACUUGCUGUUAAUUUUUUUUUUCUCUUUUAAAACUAAUAUGACAUAGAAAUAGAGAAUAUAUUCAAGAAAUGGCUGUAGUUUUUGAUUGAAAACACAAUUUUCCAUCUAAGUAUUGGUACCUGCUCACCUUCUUUAUCUCAAUUAGUAGCAAUCUCUUCCUAUAUAAUGAUUCCUUGCCUGCCUGGUUUCCAUGGUCCAUUGACAGCUCCAGCUACUACCAUCUUCCUAAUAUACCAACUUCUGGAAUGUAUUUAUUUCCCUGGCCUGAUUAUGUUAUUGCCUUCAGUAUUCUUCCUGCCUUAUAGAUGUAGCCUCUUUGGGGGGGGGGGUAUCCAAAAAUAGUCUUGUCAUAACUCAGUGAGUUCCUUCUCUUUGUCACUUCUAAAUGAUAGAGCCAUUACAAGGUGCCAUGUCCACCCAUCCAUUUGGAAUUAGGAAUAAAUACAGAAGAGUUCAAUUCAAUCCAGCAAACAAUUAUGGUGUGUAUGUUCUGUGCAUGAACUCUGGUAAGUGCUGGAGAGCAAAAGUGAAGGAGCAGUCUGCUGCCUCCAGGAGCUAAUGGUCUCAUGCCCAGUCUCCUAUUAUCCCUUUACACUAUUCUAUCCACUUUGCUUAUUUCCCUCUUGUUCAUGAUCUUUGCAAGUUUCCUUUCCUCUCCUACCUCCUUGGCUUGCUUCACUCUUUUUAUUACUUUGUUCCCUUAUCCUGUUAGUAACUUUCUUUUUAGCCAUAGCCAACUCCCCUGCUCCAAGUGCUUAGGAAUAGGACUUGGAAGGCAACUCUCCAGAAAAGCUUUCUGGAAGUUAGAGUAGUUGUCAAUAUCUAACUAUACAUAUUUUCCUAAAUCACUAGAUCAUAAGGAACAAGAAAACGGAGAUCCCAUUAUAUUAUCUAAAGUGUUAAUUUGGGGGCAACAGGGAUACCUUAGUUUCUUGAUUAAUUUUGAAUUUAUUUUAUUCUAAUAUAUUUUCUUAACCAUUUGAAAAGGUCACAUGGUGGUCAAAUUUGAAAAAAGUUUGGGGGGAAAAUCCAGUGGUUUAUGGCAGAGUCUUGGGUCUUAAGAAUUAUUUAGGAAGAAGUAUUAGAAUUGAGCCUUAGAAAAACCACAGAACACUCAUAUUGGUGCCUAAAUAAGAAAAAUAGAGAUUGUUCUUUCACAUAUCUCCACCAACAGCAAAAACAUAUAUAGAUUUAUCUCCAAGAAUAUUGGAAUAUCAGAUCUGUGAAAAGAAAAUAAAGAACAUGGAAAUGUUUCAAAACUAAAAUAUUUAUCUAGAUCAUUCAAAUUAUUGAAGACAGAAUAAUUGUAUUUCUCAAAAACAUGCAUACCCUGACCUGGUUACCUCAGGAAACUCCCUCUUUCCCUUUCUUCUCCCUACUCCUCUUUCCCUAUCUGAAGUUCAUGUAUGAGCCCUCACCCCACCUAAAUUGCUCCCGCUAUACUUCCCAGAAACUAUAAAAAUUGAACUCUGACAUGAAGAAACCACUUUUAACAUUUCUGAAAGUACCUUAAAUUCACUCUCUAUCUCUUCUAAUUAAUUUUUUUUCCAAACAAAGAAAAAAUGAAUAGCACAUUUAGCUGAAUUGCAGUUUUUUGUUUUCCCUCUUAUUUUGCUGCAAUACUAUUUUUUCUAUUGUUCAUUUUAAAGCAUGCAGUAUUUCAACUACAUUUUAUGAUAUGAUUUUUAAGCUUUACUGUUUAUAGCAAUGUUUUAUGGUAGGUUCUAGAACUAAAAAUUGACUUGCUACAACGUAGCCUAUUUUAAGCUGAAAAUGUUUAAAAUAGCACAGAUUUUUACAUGUGGUUCUUCUACCUAGCAUCACUGAUUUAUAGUUUUACUAUAAAGGAGAGGGUCUUUUUAAAUUUAGAGUUCAUGUAAGCCAUUUCAUAUCCAACAUAUGAAGGACAUAGUUAUUGAUAGUCUAGCCUGUAAAUCAAGUCUGAUUAGUCCAUGUUAAUUGAUUGGAUCAAACAAUUACUAUGUCAAGCAACUGGUUCAGUUCUUUUGGUCACUAAAUUACAAAUUUGAUUAACUGUUUGCUUCCUGAUUGGACAGCAGCUAGCCUCCUACAUUUCAAUCAGAUUGGUUACACUGGUUAUAUCAUACUUUUAUAAUGCUAUAUCCUGAUAACUCAUUCACUAUGACUCUUUGCCCUCUAGCAUUUUUUUCAGGGUAUCCUUUACUUCUGUGUUCCUCAGACUGUAGAUCAGGGGGUUCAGCAUGGGAAUUACAAGACUAUAAAACACAGAGACCACUUUGUUGUAUUUCCAAGAAGUCUCUGUUUUAGGUUGUCGUAGGUAAAUGAAAAACAGUGUUCCAUAGAAGAUGAUGACCACAGUGAGGUGGGAGGCACAGGUGGAGAAUGCUUUGCAUUUGCCUUCUGAAGACUGGAUUUUUAUAAUGGAAAAGAGGAUGCAAAUAUAGGAGAUAAGGACAGUCAAGAGUGAUCCAGUGAGAUUCACUGCAGAGAAGACCAAGAGCUGCUUUUCUUUGUUGUGGAUGUCAGAGCAGGAGAGGGCAAGUAGAGGAGGGUCAGCACAGUAAAAGUGGUGGAUGAUGUUGGAGUUGCAGAAAGACAAUUGGAAAGUGAGAACUGUCUGUAUCACGGAGUUCAGGAAGCCAUAGAUAUAGACCCCUAUCACCAAUUCCUUGCAGACCCUCUGAAUCAUAAUGGCUGUGUAAAUCAGGGGAUUGCAGAUAGCCAUGUAGCGGUCAUAGGCCAUUGUGGCCAAGAGGAAGCAUUCAGUAGUGGCAAAAGCACUGGAGAAAUAGAGCUGAGCAAAACAGCCAGAAAAGGAGAUGGUUUUCUUCUUCACCAACAAAUUUUGCAGCAUCUUGGGCCCAAUGGAAGAGGAGUAACAAAGAUCAAUGAAUGCCAGGUGACUGAGGAAAUAGUACAUAGGGGUGUGGAGCCGCGAAUCCACCUUGAUGAGCAGGAUCAUGCCAAGGUUUCCCACCAGGGUGAUGAGAUAAAUUACUAGGAACAUCACAAAGAGGGGGAGCUGAAGCUCAGGACAAUCUGUGAAUCCCAUGAGGACAAAUUCUGUUACCGUGGUACGAUUUCCUCUUACCAUUUUCUUCUCUUCUCUGUUGUAAACAGAAGAAAUAUGCCUUAAAAUGAGUAGAUACUUUAAAGAAACUUCUUACUUUUUUAUUCCAAUCCCAGAUAACAAAACUUUGGCUUUGAAUCCCCAGUGGUUCAAGUCUGUCAUUAGACAUGAGGAUUCAUUCUGCUAAAACAGACUCAGAAAAGCCUGAGCUUAUUUCUCUUUUGGAGCAGGGGAUAUGAUAUUGUUUUCCUAGGACAGGCCCCAUUUUCAUGUUCACAGUGGAGAUGUUUUCAAUUAAUUCAACAAUCAUUUCUGACCCCGACUAAGGGCCAGAUAGUGCCUGGAAGCUGGGAUACAGGGAUAUGUCCAGCAUUGUCCUUGUUACCAGUAAGUCUAGAGGAAGAGCUGGUCACUCACAAAGGGGAAGUGAUCCCCAGAGGAAAGGAUCUAAGGAUUAUAAGAUAUGUAUAGAGUGUGGUUGGGGAUCAUAGGAGGGAGAUACUGAAUACGGAUGGUGAAAACGAAAAACUUCAUUCAUGUUAUUGAGUACCUGUAACAUGCCAGAUGCUAUGCUAAAUGAGAGUGCUACAAAGAUAAGUAAAACAUAUCUCUGCCUUCACUGAGCUCACAGGCUGAUACGAGAAACAGAUCUGUAAAUAAUUAGUUACAAUUAAGAGUGGGUAGUGUUAGGAAAGGGGAGGAAUCCUCUAA